GUUUGGGCAGCAUGAGCAUUACAUAGGUCUCGAUAGUUCAAGGUAUUGGUUUGUUCAGCACGUCUGUCAACAGAGUGGCCACCAUGUCCCAGUAGGGUUGAAGGGCAGGGCAUUUCCACCAGAUGUGUGUCAUGUUGCCCCCUUCCUCCCCACAUCUCCAGCAUGUGUCUUUUAUGUUUUGGUAUAUUUUGGCUAGCUUCGAAGGAACCAGGUACCACC